rnacentral:rRNA from 1 species
UUAAACGGCCGCGGUAUCCUAACCGUGCAAAGGUAGCGUAANCACUUGUCCCCUAAAUAGAGACCAGUAUGAACGGCUAAAUGAGGACUAANCUGUCUCCUUUAAUCAAUCAGUGAAACUGAUCUACCAGUACAAAAGCUGGUAUAAUAUCAUAAGACGAGAAGACCCUGUGGAACUUUAAAUUUCUAGAUCAAAACAUAUAAACCUUACCAAGACUUACUUUAUGGUCUAAAAUUUUAAGUUGGGGCAACUUCGGAACAAAACAAAACUUCCGAGCAUAAAGGAAAUUAACCUUACCAAGACAAACAAGUCAAAACAAAACUAGACCCAGUAAAACUGACCACCGAACCAAGUUACCCCAGGGAUAACAGCGCAAUCUUCUUCAAGAGUUCAUAUCGACAAGAAGGUUUACGACCUCGAUGUUGGAUCAGGACACCCAAAUGGUGCAACAGCUAUUAAAGGUUC